AUUGAACGCUGGCGGCAUGCUUUACACAUGCAAGUCGAACGGUAACAGGCCUUCGGGUGCUGACGAGUGGCGAACGGGUGAGUAAUGCAUCGGAACGUGCCCAAUCGUGGGGGAUAACGUAGCGAAAGUUACGCUAAUACCGCAUAAGCCCUGAGGGGGAAAGCAGGGGAUCGCAAGACCUUGCGCGAAUGGAGCGGCCGAUGUCAGAUUAGCUAGUUGGUGGGGUAAAGGCCUACCAAGGCGACGAUCUGUAGCGGGUCUGAGAGGAUGAUCCGCCACACUGGGACUGAGACACGGCCCAGACUCCUACGGGAGGCAGCAGUGGGGAAUUUUGGACAAUGGGGGCAACCCUGAUCCAGCCAUGCCGCGUGAGUGAAGAAGGCC
rnacentral:rRNA from 1 species